UUGCUCCUUCCAUACUAUCUAUGUAAUCCUGUGAGAGUGAAACCAUUUAGGAGACAUAUCUCUUUUUUUUCCCAAUAUUUGGGAUGAAACAAUGAUAUACAGUUACCUGUUUUGUAUACGAGCCAGCAAGGAAGAAGUUCUUCACAGGUGUCUUUUGAUCAGGUCUGAAGGGGUCUUUACCAGGUCCCUCACGGUACAAAGAUUGCCCGAUUUUGACAACAGAUGACCAAAUAACUUCUAAACCUUGGGAUGAUGGAAAUAGAGCUAAAACCUAAUAAAAUGAACCAUGAAUGGAUAAUUUGUACUGAUGUAUGUUAUCCAGAAAGUUGCAUGACCUUUUGUGGUACUCAGGUCACUAAAAAAAACGUGAGAUAAACAUCUAGGAUAAGAAAACCAAAAAUAGUAACCUAAUAUGUAUUAUAUGAAUUGAAGGUGUCACUGAACGCUACCAACCUGCUUUGCCACUCUCCUUAUGAUUUCAUCAUUUGGUAAGGGCAUGUAAGGAUCGCCAGGCGUCAAAACACAUCUGCAAGAUAAUAUGGUUAUAGUGAGAAACACAGAAUACAAAGACACUUGGCAAAAGGAAGUCAACCAGAUUCCAUGCACAAAAUGAAACUAAAAACGACAAGGAUUAGAAAUUUUUCUUACUGGAGUAAUGAACCUUGCCCUUCUCUGUAGUAGUCUUCUGGUGAAGUGAGUGCUAGAUCUGCAAAGCAAGAGAAAUCUGCAUCUGGAGUAUACAAAAGGUUAUCUAACCCCAGAGCUUGCCUCAAUUGCCUACAUGUUCAAAACAAGGAUCUGUUAAAAAAUGGAAAUUUCUUCAAUGCCUUAGUAAAGGGAAGUGAAGUGAAAGCAUUUUAAUUAUUUAUGUUAUUUUUGAAUAAUGGAUAAGGUAUCUUAUGGUGUUAAUAUAAGUAUGUAAUUACAUUUAACUUACUUAUUUAUUAGUAAUGUCAUAUUUAUAAAUUUUUUAAUUAAAUAAAUAUUUUUUUAAAGAUUGGCGAAUUUUUACGGAUUUACAAAAGUAAAUCCAUAUCCAAUCCACCGCUUGUGGAUUUUUAAAUUUUUAAUCCAAUUCAAUCCACCAAUCCACGGAUAAGAUUUUUACGAACCAAAUUUUUACGGAUCGGACGAAUUGAGCUGAUCGAACCGGAUUCUGAACACCCCUACUAUUGGGUUUCACUUUGUUUUACAUGAAUUUGGGAAAAAUACACGGAUAGACAAGGGAACAGUCAUUGUUAAGCUGUGAAGCUUGUGGAAGAUACCAUUGCCUAUUUGCAGCUUAAACUCCUGGAGCUUUGCUCAUGCUUUCUCUUUCCCACUUUCUCAUGGAACAGAUGUAUACAUCAUGAAAUGAAAACAACAGCACAAAUUGCUGUCUCGUAAGAGAAACAGUCAUACAUAGUAGGUUAGGCCUCAUGUCCAUUAACUUACUAAUGAAUUUUAUGAAAAUUGGCUAUCUCAUUGAAAUUACAUAGGUAUUGGAAACCCUUACUCCAGCUGCAUCAUCUCAUCAGUGAAAGCUGGAUUUUCCAUUUGUUCUUGAGAUUCAUAUUAAGGCAGCAAAUUGCUCAUCCCAUACUAUCUAUGUAAUCCUGUAAAAGGGAAGGGCGUUUAGAUGUGGAAAAACCUUACUCCUGCCGCUGCACCUCAAACAGAUUGCGAUCACACAAGACUUAGUUCAUCAUUAGUAGUAGUUGGAGCUUCCAUUUGUUCUUGAGAUUCAAAGGCAGCAAGCUGCUUCCUCAGUGCUACUAAUUCUUCCCCGGCAUUGCAUAUGUAGGCUGAGGCUUGUCUACCAGACAAAGUUGCUCCUUCCAUACUAUCUAUGUAAUCCUGUGAGAGUGAAACCAUUUAGGAGACAUAUCUCUUUUUUUUCCCAAUAUUUGGGAUGAAACAAUGAUAUACAGUUACCUGUUUUGUAUACGAGCCAGCAAGGAAGAAGUUCUUCACAGGUGUCUUUUGAUCAGGUCUGAAGGGGUCUUUACCAGGUCCCUCACGGUACAAAGAUUGCCCGAUUUUGACAACAGAUGACCAAAUAACUUCUAAACCUUGGGAUGAUGGAAAUAGAGCUAAAACCUAAUAAAAUGAACCAUGAAUGGAUAAUUUGUACUGAUGUAUGUUAUCCAGAAAGUUGCAUGACCUUUUGUGGUACUCAGGUCACUAAAAAAAACGUGAGAUAAACAUCUAGGAUAAGAAAACCAAAAAUAGUAACCUAAUAUGUAUUAUAUGAAUUGAAGGUGUCACUGAACGCU
rnacentral:lncRNA from 1 species